rnacentral:tRNA from 1 species
GUUUUUGUAAUUUAAGAAAAAUAUUAGUCUUGUAAACUAAAAUUAUUAAAAUAUAAUCUAAAACU